rnacentral:sRNA from 1 species
GCUGGGUGUGGUGGUGCACGCCUGUAAUCCCAGCAACUUGGGAGGCUGAGGCAAGGCAAGACCAGCCUCGG